rnacentral:ncRNA from 1 species
GAUAAUUGGCUUGUGGCGGCCAAGCGUUCAUAGCGGCACAGCUUUUUGAUCCUUUGAUAUCGGUUCUUGCUAUCAUUGUGAAGCACGAUAAACCAAGCGUUGGACUAUUCACUCAUACAAGUGAACAUGAGCUGGGUUUAGACCGUCGCGAAACAGAUU